rnacentral:lncRNA from 1 species
UUAAGCUAGGCGGGAAAUUGGUGCAACGUUUGCUGCAGCUCUGUAUCAUAAAUGGUGUUCCAGUGAGAGUGAAUGUUUAAGAUCUUUCAGACACAAUGUAGCAUAGAAAUGCCACGUGGAGAAUAGACCGCAAACAUGUUCUCAAAGUGUGUUUUUGUUGCCAAAAUAGUGUCACGUCACUGUACACCUCAUAGCACAGAUGCGCCUCAGCAGUUGUAAGAAUGCUGUGUUUUGUUGAGAUACACUUCCAAUGUGAGAGGAAAUGAAAAUAGAUGGGAGGGCUGGUCAAGUGGUUAAGUUGUUGUCGGUUAGAUCCAAAGGUUUAAGAUUGGACACUGGCUGGAGUCACAUCAGCAUCUAUUUUGUAUUUGAGUCAAGAAGUGGUUUUUCCAAGAAGUGGACUCAGAAUGAUUCAGGCUAAAGUGGAACAGUUGUGAGUUACUUGUGGAGAAGAAGUAAAUAAUGACACUUGGUAGAUCUGAACAGUCUGCUGUUGCAGAAUAUAAUUUUGAACCCAUAUCAAAUAAACUCAUGUGGAGGUGGAUAUCAUAGUGUAAGAGAUUUGUUGACAAAAAUUCACACGGUACAGAUUGCUGAAUCUGUAUGAUAAAGAUUAGUUAACAAACAUGGAGAAUGUGUCAGUUGUCGGAACUAACACUGUCGAAUGACUCAGAGCUAUUUAACAGAGGUUAAUAAUAUAAACGGGUAUAUAAUGAAGAUAAUAGUUGAUAAGGUAAUACGAAUCUAGCUUAGAUGUAUAAGGAGAUAUGAACAGUUAAAGAAUGGAGAGAUGUGUAAGCAAUGUGAAGGAUAUAUGAAGGACCCAAUGAAUCAAGAGAUUUGUUUAUAGGGUGAAGAAUACAUGUUGUGGAUCAAAUGAAGAGAGAGAACUGUUAAUGCAGGGUGAAGAAUACAUAUGAAGGACCCAAUGAAUAGAGAGAAUUGUUAAUAGGGUAAAGAAUACAUAUGAAGGACCCAAUGAAUAGAGAAAAUUGUUAAUAGGGUAAAGAAUACAUAUGAAGGACCCAAAGAAUAGAGAAAAUUGUUAAUAGGGUAAAGAAUACAUAUGAAGGACCCAAAGAAUAGAGAAAAUUGUUAAUGGGGUAAAGGAUACAUAUGAAGGACCCAAUGAAUAGAGAAAAUUGUUAAUAGGGUAAAGAAUACAUAUGAAGGACCCAAUUAAUAGAAAAUUUAUCAGUGUGAAGGAUAUUUGAAGAAUGAUGAUGUUUGAAGCAUUAGAUGAAAAGAGAGAAUAAUAAUCAGUUGUUAACAAGGUAAAAGAUAUAAUAUAUGAUGAAUCAAAUGCAGAGAGAGAACUGUUAGCAGUGUUAAGAAUGUAUGACAAACCAAAUGAAUAGAGACAGUAAGAAUCAUUUGUUAUCAAGGUGAAGGAUAUCUGAAGGAUUCACUGAAUUGAGACAAAAUAUAAUAAAGACCAGGAAGAGGGACAACACAUCAAACACCGACAAAGUUUUAACGAUUUUAAUAUAUGAUCUACUAGCCUUCAUCAGGAUAAUAAAUAAACAAAUUAUAUAGCUAAAGUACAUAAAUAUGCCGUCAUGUGUAUGACGAUUGUUUCUAAAUAUAGUAACAUUCGUUACUAAAAAUAGUUAGAAAUUAGAACGUUGCCAGAAUGUCAUGUUUAUGUAGCUUAGAAUAAAAUUUUGCAAAGUCUAGUUAUUGAAUUGAGACAAUAAUGAUUGAUAACAAGGUAAGGGACAUGAAGGAUCAAAUUAUCUCAGGGAAUAACUCAGGGAAUAUUUAACAAGGUAAAAGCUACAUGAAGGAUCAAGUUAUCUCAGGGAAUAUUUAACAAGGUAAAAGCUACAUGAAGGAUCAAGUUAUCUCAGGGAAUAUUUAACAAGGUAAAAGCUACAUGAAGGAUCAAGUUAUCUCAGGGAAUAUUUAACAAGGUAAAAGCUACAUGAAGGACCAAGUUAACUCAGGGAAUAUUUAACAAGGUAAAAGCUACAUGAAGGAUCAAGUUAACUCAGGGAAUAUUUAACAAGGUAAAAGCUACAUGAAGGAUCAAGUUAACUCAGGGAAGGAUAUAUGAAUGAUAAUAAGAACAGAUAUUACUGUUAAAAAUGUGAAGGAUAAGUGGGAUCUAAAUGAUACUGAGAAUUGUGAACAGCUUAAACUAAACAUAGAAUAUCUCACGGAUAGUGAGUAUUGUGAACUGCAAGAGGGUUCAUUUGUAAAGGAAGGUGAAAAUUGUCAACAGGUAGAGGAUACAAUUUUUAAAAGAAGGUUCUAAAUAGUAGAUUUUUCAACAUCAUCCAGAAGACCACAAGAGAAGUGGAAUUGUAAGCUGAGAUGUAGAAAUAAGGAAUUAAGGUAGAAUGCAUGCUUUUAAUAAGAAAAUGGAGUAAUUUGUACAAAUUUAUGGACAAUGUAUGCUGCAUCAAGCUCUAUAUGCUGAAAAUCUGUAAGUAAUGCAUGCUUGUUAAUUGAAUAAUGUUUAUACCGUGAUAUAUUAUAUUGUGCCAGAUGGAAGACUGUUGUUACUCAUUACAAAUUUAAAGAAUACAGUAACUGUCUACAGCGACCAACCUUCGGAGAACUUCAAAAAGUUUAUUGUAUACAGGGAGUCUCUAUACACAAUCAAACAAAGAGUGGUCUUGGUUUAAGGCAAGUAACACAUGUUCUAGUAAGCAUUUUAUUUAGGACCUUUAAACAUUCUGAUAAAACAUGGAAUAUUUACAGUCUGCUUCACUUUAUUUUCAUCGGUGAGACGGUGAUGCAGUUAUUAAGAUCGAGAACCACACUCCAUGAUUUGUGCUGGAGAAAUUUUCUCCCGUUGAGAGGGUGGGUCAAAAAGUCGUUAUUAAGGUUUGAAGUCGUGUUUUUGGGCAAAAAAUUCAUGGUUGUUGUACGCAUCAGACAGGGAGUAGCUAAAAACAAGCCAAUUUUAAUACGAAAUGCAUGGGGAUGAAAUAAAAAGGUCGUUGUAGACAAAAAGUUGUUGAAGGCAAGGGGUUGUUAAGGCAGUCUUCACUGUAGUUAAUGACAGUUUCCCAUUCAGCCCUUUGAUAUAACUAAGCCUUUAAAAUAUGUGACAUUAUACUCCUUAAAAUACACUUUAGACCACAAACUGAAAAGCUGCUGAUUCAUGGUCUUUAACUGUUCGGAAUUGAAAAAAGGUAAUCAAAUAAUUUUAUCAAAAGACACUAGUAAUAAUUAUCUUUUAAUUAAAUUAAUAGGAAUGCUUUCAAAUGUAGAUUCUAUAAAACCUAACAUCCUUCAGUUAUUUUGAGGAGUAUACAGUUGAACUUACUCAAGACCACAUCUAUUAACGAGACAACUUGCAUUAAGAAACCACUUUUCCAGUUCUUAUUUGCAAAUAUAAAUAUUAAUCUUAAAUUAUGUUGUAUUACGACACCAUUGUGUUAAGAGAACACUUUUUGUCUCUCAUUUAAAGGUUGUCACUCAAUGCAAGUUGUUACAGCAUUUCUAUCUUUUUAUUUCAUAGUUGUGACCUUAUUGCUUGAGUUUAUCAUAAUGACAGAAUAGAUUGUUACAAUGGUUUUAGCUACCAGAAUAUGGUAAUGACAGAAUAGAUAGUUACAAUGGUUUUAGCUACCAGAAUAUCGUAAUGACAGAAUAGAUUGUCACAGUGGUUUUAGCUAUCAGAAUAUCCUAAUGACAGAAUAGAUUGUUACCAUGGUUUUAGCUACCAGAAUAUGGUAAUGACAGAAUAGAUUGUCACAAUGGUUUUAGUACCAGAAUAUCGAAAUGACAGAAUAG